rnacentral:rRNA from 1 species
AACGAACGCUGGCGGCAUGCCUAACACAUGCAAGUCGAACGAGACCUUCGGGUCUAUUGGCGCACGGGUGCGUAACGCGUGGGAACCUGCCCUUAGGUUCGGAAUAACUCCCCGAAAGGGGUGCUAAUACCGGAUAAUGUCUUCGGACCAAAGAUUUAUCGCCUUUGGAUGGGCCCGCGUUGGAUUAGCUAGUUGGUAGGGUAAAAGCCUACCAAGGCGACGAUCCAUAGCUGGUCUGAGAGGAUGAUCAGCCACACUGGGACUGAGACACGGCCCAGACUCCUACGGGAAGCAGCAGUGGGGAAUAUUGGACAAUGGGCGCAAGCCUGAUCCAGCCAUGCCGCGUGAGUGAUGAAGGCCUUAGGGUUGUAAAGCUCUUUUACCCGGGAUGAUAAUGACAGUACCGGGAGAAUAAGCUCCGGCUAACUCCGUG